rnacentral:rRNA from 1 species
UACAGAGGGUGCAAGCGUUAAUCGGAAUUACUGGGCGUAAAGCGUGUGCAGGUGGUUUGUUAAGUCAGACGUGAAAUCCCCGGGCUCAACCUGGGAAUUGCGUUUGAUACUGGCAGACUCGAGUGUGGUAGAGGGUAGUGGAAUUCCGCGUGUAGCAGUGAAAUGCGUAGAUAUGCGGAGGAACAUCAGUGGCGAAGGCGGCUACCUGGACCAACACUGACACUGAGGCACGAAAGCGUGGGUAGCAAACACG